GCCGUGAGCGUAUAGUGGUCAAUACAUAGCGUUGUGGUUGCAACAACCUAGGUUCGAAUCCUGGUCAUGGCA